GUGACAGAGUGAGGGACGGUGUGACUAGUGACAGAGAGAGGGAGGGGGUGACUAGUGACAGAGUGAGGGAGGUUGUGAUUAGUGACAGAGGGAGGGAUGAGGUGACUAGUGACAGUCACCACCUCCUUCACUCUGUCACUAGUCACCCCCUCCCUCACUCUGUCAUUGUGUCACCCCCUUCCUCACUCUGUCACUAGUCACCCACUCCCUCCCUCACUCUGUCACU